rnacentral:tRNA from 1 species
UCCCUGAUGGUCCAGUGGUUAGGACACUGCACUUUCAUUUUGGAGAGCAUGGGUCCAAUCCCUGGUCAGGGAC